GAUGCAAACAGGGCCAUUUAUACAUCUUCAAUCCUAUAUUAAUUUCUUUCGCUUAUGCAAACGGGGAUUAUGUUGUCGGAGAGUUUCUGACGCAUACAUAAAACAGAUACGUACAGAGACAUCCCUACACACAUCCGGAGUCAGUUGUCAAAGAGAAGCUUAUUCAUUUUCCACCGUUAAAAACGAUUUAUUUCAUGUUUCGUGAAGUUUCUACAUUCUUAUGAAUGCAAAGAACAUACAUUUCUGGGUUGUAAGAAAAAGCUUCUAAAGCGGAUGCAACGAAUGAAAACAUCACUUUGCUGCCAUUGUAGAACGUCUUUCAUGCUUGCAGAAGAUGUAGGCCAUCAUGAACUAGCCUGUAGCUGGAAUAUCUGCUGACAGCGAAUGAAGGGGAAUAAUUAUAGUAUCUGAGAUAAUUCUCAUUGAAGAAAUGCCAAGACAAAUAUUUAAAUUCCUUUCACCUCGAGAUCUUAUUGCGUUACAUAUCAGAAUAGAACAGAAAAAGGGCAACGCAAAGAAAAGAAAAAAACUAGCCUCUUCUCUCACAAAGCAAUCAAAAUCGAAUCCAUAUGGAUUAAUGUUACAUAAUAAAGACAACUUAAUUUUCAAGUCCAACUGAUUUGAAUAUUGUACGUUCUUCAUGUUUAUAUUUUGUUUCACCUUUAUAAAUUGAACUG